GAUUCCCGGUCUGCGAGGCAGUUAGCGAUCCCGGGGAUAUGGGCUGAGCUAAGCCAUAUGCCUCUAGUUAUACACCACUCCCAAAUAGUCUUCCCCAGUAGGUUAAGUUCUGGAGAGUGGCUCGUUCCCAUGUGGUUUAGAACUGCGAUGGCCGUUGUACGGAGUACCUCGUGGCUUUCGCCAUUACCCCGGUGGGGUUCAGUUUGCAUCGGUGAUGCUGUGUGGGUGUCCGAUGGACCGCUAGCCUCAUCUUCGAGCAUGUGCUAAAGGGAGGCAUUUUCAGCUUUGUUCGACAUGUUUUAGUAAGGUACUAAAAAUAUAUAGAACAAGUGACGAUUAGUUAGUAUAAAGAAUAACAAAACACGAUGGAUUGGUUGUUAACCCCGAAGUACUCACGAUUACCAAAGGUAAUAGUUGAAGUAGAUGUAUAAUUUUUGAAGUAGUUGAUCUGCGAUCAGGUAGGCGUGUGGCUGCUGUGAAAGCGAGCGUACAAUGGCUCGAUAAGCAAGCGCGCGUGCUUCUCAUGUUAGUCUGUAGUGACGUAUGACUGAUGACAGAUAGAACUGAGGUGGUUCAUCCAUGAUCUGAGCAUUGUGUUGGAGCCGCCAGGUAGUACUUUGCAUUCUAGAUUCAAAUCAAGUUUUGAGUUGCUAACAUUGAAUAGGACCAGGUUAGGAAACUGAAGGGCAAAACAACAUUAAUUCCACAGAUUCUAUACAAGUGCUCCAAAGCCAGACAAUUAUGUAAGUUUUUAGAAGGAUUCUCAUUACAAGAAAGUCUAUUCAGAGCCGCAACAUUGACCGGGUUUCUUCUUGAUAACCACAAGUCACAGCCAAUGUCAGUCAUGCAUUUUUAUAUCUUUAUAUGUCUGAGUAAAUGAUGAUGUGUCCUUUACAAUGGCGUCCUUUUGCGCCCUGAAGAUGUCGGUCACAGCAUUAGCGAAUGCUGGAAAGUGACGAAUCCAUGUCAGAAUUUAAAAAAAACCCAGUGUUCUCAGACCUCAGUGUUCUCAAGGACAGCUCUGUUCGUCUCGUUACUGGUCAUGAACUCUUUCACCAUCUCCACCUCCUCUGUUACUCUUCCAAAACUCUCCUUCAAACCCCCGAUUUUAAUACAGUAAACACUUCUUUGCUGGUCUCCCGUGUUUUACUGUGCUGCACACUUCACAGUUAUCAUUAUCUGGUUUCCAAACAACACAGUAGUCUUUAACAACACAUGUUCCACUCAGAUAGGCAGCCUUGUUGGUUUUUGACCGACAUCUGCUGCACACAUGAAUGGGAUAAACGUCUUGGCUGUCAAGAAGGAUAUUUAUGCGCCAAAUUUGCUGCAUGUUCUUGGCAAAAUCACCAGUGCGAGCAUGCGUUUUCUGUCUCUUGAUACUAUUCGCACAUAUGCGGCACUUGAAGUUGAGGAGUCUUUUAUCAUUGUCCAUCUUUCCUUAAAAAAGAAACAAAAACACUAAGAAACAUAUUUUGAAUACUCUAAACCCAUGAGCGCUUAUUGGCCGAUCGAGGGCAAUCCUACCGGGAGUGCUUAUACGAGACUUUCAACGGAAACUAGGGACUUCCAAUACUCGGCGAGAGAUUGGCGUUUUAUAACAAGAAUCCGAGAAAAAGUGGUUUCGUAUACGUGAAAACUGGCAAGAUAUCAAAAUUUAAAUAUAGGACUCCCAGAUAGGAGUCCUUUGGAAUUCCAUCAUUAAUAGAAUGUCUCUCCGGAAAGCUGAGGUCAUGUACAACACGGAGGUCUUCAGAAUCGCGUUUAGGAACGCAAAGUAAUGGCGAGAUAACACAUUCCGUAUCAAACGGAUUAUUUCUGUACGUACAAUUGUAAAUAAUCAAUGUGCUGAUUUGCCGAGAGAUGAUUUUUGAGUGUAGCCGUAGCUUGAUCACUGCAAAAAUUUAUUGGCCAACCAAAACGUAAAACAUCGAUCACAAGUCUGUCCUGAUAAUGUUUGAGAUACUCGCUCCAUUUAUCAAUCACGAAAGUGGAAGACACUGGGAUUGGGGCACCACGAAAAUUAGGAAGGUGGAAGGCGCGGAUAGAGUUCGCCAAUACCAUGGCUGAUAGUCAGUGCCGCUCGCCGCCGGGUACGACAACAGGACCAGUGUUAGGUAUCGGGGAUCGCUGCUUUGCACACGACAGCAUAGAAUGGUUGGCAUCACAAACUUGGCAAAGGUGAUCAGACUUGUAGGCUGGAUCCGUUGGGAGACAAGAACAUUUCCCCGUAUGAUUCCAAUCCUUGCAAUAAAGCUCUUUCUUGGCCUUUGCCGCAGACGAGAUCCCAUUUCGCGGUGCCGAUUGCGAAGCCGAACGCAAAUCCGUGUGAGUGAAUGCGAUCUGCGCCCUAUCGCGAAUAACGGUGGCGUCAUUCCAAGUGAGCCGCCCAGCCUCUAUUGCGGUGUUGGGCUGUUGAGACAAAAAAUAUACUUAUGAUCCGAAAGCAUACUACCAGGUAUGAAUAGACGAAAAAAGAAGUGAUACACUUUGGCGGGAAACCCCAAACCACGCGCUCUACUUGAGUAUAUCAUUAGUCAAUUCCCGACUAAUCUAAAAUUUCUGAACUUAAGACUGUUGAAAGGGGUCUACAAAAUAGGUUCAAAUCCACAUCACCUUGUCGUUAUCCCGAUAGCGGGAAUACGCCUCCUCAACAGGUCGACCAUUCCUUGUGAGCUGGUAUCAAUAGGGAACACCACUCUGGUCCACGAGGAGGGAGUGUUGGGUUUUUUAGGUGAUGGGUUCGGUCAAAUCAAGCCACACAAAAUGUCUGGCUAUUGGAGCUCCUGAUGUUCGCCUAGCCUGACUGCUUCUUCCUCCUAAAGUUUCCCCUCUUCCUCUACUUCCUACAGUUAGCGUAUGGUCCAUGUUUGAGAGAAUUAUUAAGGUCUAAAAAGGCCAGAUUUGUCAUCUCUACCUCAUGAAAAAAUGUUUCAGCAAUGCCUGGUGUUCGUCCCUAAAGUUGCCUCUGCUCUCGCCUUGCAAUAUGUUUGACCAAACUUAGACUGAAACCACCAUGAUUUGAUAAAAGCCAAAAAGGAAAAGAUAGUUAUGGUAGUUUUUAAUGCGAAACAGUGAGGUACUAGCCUGCUUGCAGGUGUUAAUAAUAAGUUCUUUUAUUGUACACGUAUAAUAUCAUUUUACAAUAAAUAAAAUUUAAUCAAUAAUUGAUUUUACAAUAGAUAAAAACUACUCAGCAGGUAGCGCAAGUGAGAGGAAAAAAACGUAAGUUCUUAUUAAGAAGAAAAGAGAAAAAAGAAGAAAUAAUAAAAGAUUUAAGGUACUCUUCAACAGGAUCCUGACAGAAUCGUUCUGUCAGGACGUACUCCAUACCCUCUUGGAGGAGAAGCUUGGUGGCUUCGAUGCCAGACUGGGCAGUCAACUAGAAGCUCUCAUAGGUCUGCCAGGACUGGAACAUGCGGGAUCUUGCAUUCUGACUAAAGUUUCCUGGGCGGUUCUGGGUUCUCUCUUUCCAGCCUCUCAGAUAGCUUAAGAAAUCUGUCAAAAACAGGAACC